AUUGAACGCUGGCGGCGUGCUUAACACAUGCAAGUCGAUCGGUAACAGGUGUAGCAAUACAUGCUGACGAGAGGCGGACGGGUGAGGAAUAUUUGGGAAUCUGCCCAUCAGCGGGGGACAACCCGGGGAAACCCGGGCUAAUACCGCAUACGCUCUACGGAGGAAAGCCGGGGACCGCAAGGCCUGGCACUGGUGGAUGAGCCCAAAUCGGAUUAGCUAGUUGGCGGGGUAACGGCCCACCAAGGCGACGAUCCGUAGCUGGUCUGAGGGGACGAUCAGCCAACCCGGAACGUAGACACGGUCCGGACUCCUACGGGAGGCAGCAGUGGGGAAUAUUGGACAAUGGGGGAAACCCUGAUCCAGCGACGCCGCGUGGGUGAAGAAGGCCUGCGGGUUGUAAAGCCCUUUCGGUAGGGACGAAAGCUCUUGCUCUAACAAGGCAGGAGGUUGACUUAACCUACAUAAGAAGCACCGGCUAACUCUGUGCCAGCCGCCGCCGUAAUAC
rnacentral:rRNA from 1 species